rnacentral:rRNA from 1 species
AAAAAAAAAAUUAAAAAAAAGAAUUACAAAAAAAAAACGAACAAAAAAAAAACUUGAAAGAAAAAAAAAAGAAAACAAUCGAA